CGCAGCGGGAAGCAGUGGCCAAUAGCUGAGUCAAUAAGGUAGCUCUGCUUCUAUUUAUUGUACUGUUGAGGGGCAGCCUGUGCUCUCUUGACGCAGUUUGCCUUCCACACGCAAAUUUUAAAUUUGUCGUCAAAAAUAAAUUCUGCAAGAUGUCGAAAGAUAUUCCCCGUGAGCCAGAGCAGCUCCGCAAGCUGUUCAUCGGCGGCUUGAGCUUCGAGACCACAGACGAGAGUUUGCGGGACCAUUUCCAAAACUGGGGGAGUCUUACAGAUUGUGUGGUGAUGAGAGACCCCGGCAGCAAGAGGUCCAGGGGUUUUGGCUUUGUCACCUACUCAUCUGUCCAGGAGGUUGAUGCUGCCAUGGGUGCCCGACCCCACAAGGUUGACGGAAGAGUGGUAGAACCCAAGCGAGCAGUUUCCAGAGAGGAUUCCAAUCGACCGGGUGCUCAUGUAACCGUGAAGAAAAUAUUUGUUGGGGGAAUUAAAGAGGACACAGAGGAAUCGCACCUGCGUGAUUAUUUCCAGGAGUUUGGAAAAAUUGAGGUUAUUGAAAUAAUGAAUGAUCGCAACACUGGCAAGAAGAGGGGAUUUGCUUUUGUGACCUUUGAUGACCACGACUCAGUCGACAGGAUUGUCAUCCAGAAAUAUCACACAAUUAACUCACACAACUGUGAAGUAAGGAAGGCCCUUCCAAGGCAGGAUAUGCAGUCAGGAAUGGGAAUGAGAGGAGGAUUUUCAGGUGGUCGGAGUGGUGGCGGAAGGCCCUAUGACUAUGACAGAGGUUUCAACCAGGGUGGCAGGGGCAGAUACGGAGACAGCCAUUACAACUGCAAUGGAGGCGAUGGUGGUUAUGGAGGCGGUAUUGGUGGAUAUAACAAUGGAGGCAGCCGUGGCUAUAACCAGGGCUACAGCCAGGGUGGAGGCGGAGGUGGCGGCUAUGGUGGAAAUGGCUACGACAGCAACGGUUAUGGCAACUGCGGCGGAGGUGGCGGCGGCGGCGGAAACUACAACAACAUGGGCCACUACGACUCCCAGUCCUCUAACUUCGGCCCAAUGAAGAACAACUUUGGUGGUGGUGGCGGCGGCGGUGGCGGCAGGAGCUAUGGCGGAUACGGAGGAAGCUCAAACAGCGGAUAUGGACGUCAAGGGCGGUUUUGAAGCGACAAGGAAGUGCAGUGAAGUGUACUCUCAGUGGGGGGGACCAACUUCUUCUGACAACAAAUAAUCAGAAUCCUCAGAAGGAUGAAUUGGUGCUGAAGAUAUUCAUCCAGGUCAGACGAGAGCUGUCCUAUCUCGUCAAAAUUAUACGCUCAUGACGUUUGUUUUUUUUUGUGAACUUUUUAAUAAAAUUUUAUUUUUUUAAUGAAACUUGUAAUGUGUUUUUUGUAUAAAAAUACAAUACAAAAUCUCCAGAUUUAGGACUUAAGGACUUUGGUCUAUUUCAAAGGUCGGCACAAAAAAAAUCAACAAAAAAAAAAAGGUCGGCACAAAAAAAUAUCAAAAAAUAAAAAAAAGUCGGCACAAAAAAAAUCAAAAAAUAAAAAAAAGUCGGCACUAAAAAAAUCAAAAAAUAAAAAAAAGUCGGCAUAAAAAAAUAAAAAAAAGUCGGCACAAAAAAAUCAAAAAAUAAAAAAAAGUUGGCACAAAAAAAAUCAAAAAAUAAAAAAAAGUUGGCACAAAAAAAAUCAAAAAAUAAAAAGUCGGCACAAAAAAAAUCAAAAAAUAAAAAAAAGUCGGCACAAAAAAAAUCAAAAAAUAAAAAAAAGUCGGCACAAAAAAAAUCAAAAAAUAAAAAAAAAGUCGGCACAAAAAAUAAAAAAAUAAAAAAAAGUCGGCACACAAAAAAAUCAAAAAAAAAGUCGGCACAAUAUUUUCACAUAUCUAAUGUACAUAUUUCAGCAUUGUUCUCUCUUCUGCACUUUUUGCGGCACCAAAUAUAUUUUACCGUCCUGCGUCUGCUGUAAGUAGUACUCAUCUACUGAAUACGGUUGUCCAGUCUCAUCCCUCAGGUGAGCGAACACUUGGGCGUACAGGUCUGUCAGGUGGUGCUUAAUGUAAGCCAAGCUGUGCUGGAACUCCAACCUCUCCUGGACCAGACUCUCCCUCUGGACCUGCAGCUGACCCAGCUCUCGUUCCAGGUGAUUUAUACUGUCCAGUUUCCGCUUUCUGCAGUUUUGCGCUGCCACUUUAUUCUUGCCUCUUCGCCUGAUGUCCUUAAUGAGUACGAGUUGGGCGUCGGUCAGGGUGCACUGCGUCACUAAUUCGUUGAAGUCGUCAACUGGCAGAUUGAUGAUCUUAUCUACGGGGAAGGGGAUCUUCAACGCCAUGGCUCGCCGCUCGUCUCUGCUUGCUGGUGGCGGUUGUAGACUCCCUGGAGGUUUUGCAUGCACCGUGUGUUCCCAGCCGCCACUAGUGGGCGGUGCAGAGCUGUAAAAGUCAACUAAAGACUGAGGUUUCACCGUCUGAGAAUGGAUAGAACUUGAAUUGGUGAAAUAAGACUGUUGUUCUCCCGUGUGUAAAUAAGAGUCGGGUUGAUUCUGGUACUCUGUCGGGUAGUGAUGUGAUCUCUCCGAGAUUUCUUGAUCUGAACGUGAAAUGGACAUAUAACUCGGUGCAACAGCGGUAGGAUUUUCAGGCGAGGCUAAAGGCGGACUGGACCCUAGAGAUAAACCGGAGUCUGAUUCCAUAUCAUCAACUGAACAAGCAUGGGAACUUUUUCCAUGUAAGGUCCACAUCAUGCGGCGCCCCACCGGAGCUUGAGUAUGACUACCAUUGGGUCUUUUGUCCGCUUGACUUAUACAAGACGAACUCAUACGUUCUGCGAGUAAGUGAUGAGGUUGAGACGACAUGGGCGACAAGUUCUGGUUGAGCUGAGGUCCAGGUUGGGCGUACAGAUCCUGUAUGCGGUGGCAGGCCUCCUCGGUGUAACCUCCGUCGUACGUGUGCACCGUGCUCUCGUAUCCGGAAGGAACGAGUUCGGAGUGGAGUGUCCCGUAUACCGCUAACGGAACCAUCGGCUCCGUGCUCGGGUAUUGUGUUGCAUCAUAUGAGCUCUCACCAGGAGAUGUCUCUAAUCCCUGCAACAACAAGGCAUUCCGAUUAAUGACUUGUCUUAAUCAAUGAACAUAAUUAGUCAUAUACUGUACAUUGAACGGUUGUUUACAUAAAUACAUACUCUUAAAGUAAUUCUGACACUUGAUUUAAUACAUAAAUGCAAUGUAAAAAAAUUAAUUGAUUUAGAUUAACUUUCUGAGUUGCUAACUUAAUUUUUAAAGUUAUGUUCAAAUAAUAAUGUUGGUUAUUACAUGAACUUAAUUUAGCAUAUUCAUAUAAACUCAAAUUAACCUUUCAAUUUUAAGUUCCAUCUCCUACAAGACACUGCAAGAGACUGAAGCAACAUUUCAUGGUGAGUAAAAAUGUAUUUCUAAUU